rnacentral:rRNA from 1 species
UACAGGAGGGUGCGAGCGUUAAUCGGAAUUAGCUGGGCGUAAAGCGUGCGUAGACGGUUAUCUAAGUCGGAUGUGAAAGCCCCCGGGCUCAACCUGGGAAUUGCAUUCGGAGACUGGAAUAGCUAGGGUGCGGUAGAGGGAAGCGGAAUUUCCGGUGUAGCGGUGAAAUGCGUAGAGUAUCGGAAGGAACAUCAGUGGCGAAAGCG